rnacentral:rRNA from 1 species
UGGGGAAUAUUGCGCAAUGGGGGCAACCCUGACGCAGCCAUGCCGCGUGAAUGAAGAAGGCCUUCGGGUUGUAAAGUUCUUUCGGUGACGAGGAAGGUUGUUGUGUUAAUAGCGCAACAAAUUGACGUUAAUCACAGAAGAAGCACCGGCUAACUCCGUGCCAGCAGCCGCGGUAAUACGGAGGGUGCGAGCGUUAAUCGGAAUAACUGGGCGUAAAGGGCACGCAGGCGGCUAUUUAAGUGAGGUGUGAAAUCCCCGGGCUUAACCUGGGAAUUGCAUUUCAGACUGGGUAGCUAGAGUACUUUAGGGAGGGGUAGAAUUCCACGUGUAGCGGUGAAAUGCGUAGAGAUGUGGAGGAAUACCGAAGGCGAAGGCAGCCCCUUGGGAAUGUACUGACGCUCAUGUGCGAAAGCGUGGGGAGCAAACAGGAUUAGAUACCCUGGUA